rnacentral:rRNA from 1 species
AGCAUAUCAAUAAGCGGAGGAAAGAAACUAACAAGGAUUCCCCUAGUAACGGCGAGUGAAGAGGGAAAAGCUCAAAUUUAAAAGCUGUUGCCUUUCAGGUAACCGCAUUGUAAUCUCAAGAAAUGUUUUCGAUUGUAGCCUGCGUAUAAGUACCUUGGAAUAGGUUGGCAUAGAGGGUGAAACUCCCGUCUUUGAUGCAGAUUACUAUGAUCAUGUGAUACAUUUUCUAAGAGUCGAGUUGUUUGGGAAUGCAGCUCAAAAUGGGUGGUAAAUUCCAUCUAAAGCUAAAUAUUGGCCUGAGACCGAUAGCGAACAAGUACCGUGAGGGAAAGAUGAAAAGCACUUUGGAAAGAGAGUCAAACAGAACGUGAAAUUGCUGAAAGGGAAGCGUUUGAAGUUAGUCUGAUAGAAGUUGUUCAAUUGUUACUUUGGUUUCAAUGUAUGCAACUUUUUUAUCGGUCAACAUCAAUUUUGAUUGAUGGAUAAAGGUAAUAGAAAUGUGGCUACUUCUGUAGUGUUAUAGUCUAUUAUCAUAAACAUUGAUUGAGAUUGAGGACGGCAGUGUACCUUUUAGGAAGGUGUUCGCACCUAUUACACUAAGGAUGUUGACAAAAUAGCUUUAAGCGACCCGUCUUGAAACACGGACCAAGGAGUCUAACAUAUCUGCGAGUAUUUGAGUGACAAACUCGAAUGCGUAAUGAAAGUGAAUGUAGGUGUGAAGCGUAAGCUGCAACAUCGACCGAUCUGGAAUUUUUAUAAUGAUGGAUUUGAGUAAGAGCAUAUAUGUUGGGACCCGAAAGAUGGUGAACUAUGCCUGAAUAGGGUGAAGCCAGAGGAAACUCUGGUGGAGGCUCGUAGCGGUUCUGACGUGCAAAUCGAUCGUCAAAUUUGGGUAUAGGGGCGAAAGACUAAUCGAACCAUCUAGUAGCUGGUUCCUGCCGA